rnacentral:tRNA from 1 species
GCGGGCGUGGCGGAACUGGUAGACGCGCCGGGUUUAGGUCCCGGUGGGGCUUUGCUCCUUAGAGGUUCAAGUCCUCUCGCCCGCA